GAUGAACGCUGGCGGCGUGCUUAACACAUGCAAGUCGAACGGGAAACCUUUUAAUGAAGCUUCGGCAGAUUUAGCUGGUUUCUAGUGGCGGACGGGUGAGUAACGCGUGGGUAACCUGCCUUAUACAGGGGGAUAACAGUCAGAAAUGACUGCUAAUACCGCAUAAGCGCACAGGACCGCAUGGUCCGGUGUGCAAAACUCCGGUGGUAUAAGAUGGACCCGCGUUGGAUUAGCUUGUUGGUGGGGUAACGGCUCACCAAGGCGACGAUCCAUAGCCGGCCUGAGAGGGUGAACGGCCACAUUGGGACUGAGACACGGCCCAGACUCCUACGGGAGGCAGCAGUGGGGAAUAUUGCACAAUGGGGGAAACCCUGAUGCAGCGACGCCGCGUGAAGGAAGAAGUAUCUCGGGAUGUAAACUUCUAUCAGCAGGGAAGAUAGUGACGGUACCUGACUAAGAAGCCCCGGCUAACUACGUG
rnacentral:rRNA from 1 species